CUCCCGGCCCUCCCGUCCGCGGGUGGGGCGCCCGCCGGAGGAUAACCAAACUCUGAUUUAACGACGUUUCUUCUGAGUGACACAAGUAAUAAUCAAAACUUUUAACAACGGGACUUCUUGGUUCUGGCAUCGAUGAAGAACGCAGCGAAAUGCGAUAAGUAAUGUGAAUUGCAGAAUUCAGUGAAUCAUCGAAUCUUUGAACGCACAUUGCGCCCGCCAGCAUUCUGGCGGGCAUGCCUGUUCGAGCGUCAUUUCAACCCUCAAGCUUUUGCUUUGUUUUUUGGGGGCCCCUACGGUUGAACGUCGGCCCCUUAAAAGGUAGGGGGGGGACCCCUGGGGAACCCUCCUUUGGGAAAUAAAGUUUUCCCCCCCUUUUGUUUUUUGGGGGCCACCCCCCCCUAAAAACCCCCUUUUUUUUUGAGUGGGGACGCGUAUACGGGGGAAUACCCCUCGUCAAAAACCCAAUAAAAAAAGGGGAGAAAAAUUUGGGCCCC
rnacentral:misc_RNA from 1 species